rnacentral:ncRNA from 2 species
AUGUAAAUGCAGGGGUGCCGUAAAGGCUGAGAGGAAAGAUUUCUAACCCUUUGAACCUGAUGUAACUAAGAUUACCGUAGGGAGCAUUAUAGUAUAUAUA